rnacentral:rRNA from 1 species
AGUGGGGAAUAUUGCACAAUGGGCGCAAGCCUGAUGCAGCCAUGCCGCGUGUGUGAAGAAGGCCUUCGGGUUGUAAAGCACUUUCAGCAGUGAGGAAGGUGGUGUCGUUAAUAGCGGCAUCAUUUGACGUUAGCUGCAGAAGAAGCACCGGCUAACUCCGUGCCAGCAGCCGCGGUAAUACGGAGGGUGCGAGCGUUAAUCGGAAUUACUGGGCGUAAAGCGCAUGCAGGUGGUUAGUUAAGUCAGAUGUGAAAGCCCGGGGCUCAACCUCGGAACUGCAUUUGAAACUGGCUGACUAGAGUACUGUAGAGGGGGGUAGAAUUUCAGGUGUAGCGGUGAAAUGCGUAGAGAUCUGAAGGAAUACCGGUGGCGAAGGCGGCCCCCUGGACAGAUACUGACACUCAGAUGCGAAAGCGUGGGGAGCAAA